CAGUAGCCACGGUAAUACGAAGGGGGCUAGCGUUGUUCGGAAUCACUGGGCGUAAAGGGCUCGCAGGCGGUUUCUUAAGUCUGAUGUGAAAGCCCCCGGCUCAACCGGGGAGGGUCAUUGGAAACUGGGAAACUUGAGUGCAGAAGAGGAGAGUGGAAUUCCACGUGUAGCGGUGAAAUGCGUAGAGAUGUGGAGGAACACCAGUGGCGAAGGCGGCUCUCUGGUCUGUAACUGACGCUGAGGAGCGAAAGCGUGGGGAGCGAACAGGAUUAGAUACCCCCGUAGUCCCUGUCUCUUAUAC
rnacentral:rRNA from 1 species